rnacentral:rRNA from 2 species
AACAUAUCUGAGAGUAACUGUUCAGGUGUUGACUGUAUUUAACCAGAAAGCCACGGCUAACUGAUGCCAGCGUCCGCGGUAAUACGCACAUGGCAAGACUGGUCCGGAUUCAUUGGACCUAAAAUCCUGGCAAGCGGUUUGUUAUGCCAGAUGUGAAAGCCUUCUGCUCAACCAUACAAGUGCAUCGGAGAGUGGAAAACUUCUUGCGGACAGGGAUUGUGUAACUCCAUGUGUAGCGUUGAAAUGCAUACAUAUAUAGAUACACUCCAGUGCCGACGCGGCUGAUGUCCGUAACUGAACGCGUAGGCUCAAAUUUUGUGGCGCAAACAGGAUUAUAUUCUCUCGGCAUCCGUAUCGUAUCGAUGAUGCUAAAUUGUAGGAAGUUAUCCG